rnacentral:rRNA from 1 species
AAACUGCCUGAUGGAGGGGGAUAACUACUGGAAACGGUAGCUAAUACCGCAUAACGUCGCAAGACCAAAGAGGGGGGACCUUCGGGCCUCUUGCCAUCGGAUGUGCCCAGAUGGGAUUAGCUAGUAGGUGGGGUAACGGCUCACCUAGGCGACGAUCCCUAGCUGGUCUGAGAGGAUGACCAGCCACACUGGAACUGAGACACGGUCCCAGACUCCUACGGGAGGCAGCAGUGGGGAAUAUUGCACAAUGGGCGCAAGCCUGAUGCAGCCAUGCCGCGUGUAUGAAGAAGGCCUUCGGGUUGUAAAGUACUUUCAGCGGGGAGGAAGGGAGUAAAGUUAAUACCUUUGCUCAUUGACGUUACCCGCAGAAGAAGCACCGGCUAACUCCGUG